rnacentral:ncRNA from 1 species
GGUAAAUUUGGUUUUGGUUUAGUACUUAAUUAAAACUAUAGUAAAACACAUGGUACCUUAAGGAAUCUAGUGAGUAAAGCAUGUUGAAAUUAUAUAAUAAUUAAAUAUUUAUUUGUUAAUUAAAAUGUAGCAUAAUUUAUUUAAUUACGCUUAAUUUGUUCACAUAACGCCAGUGUUGGAGUUUAGUUAAUCAAUUUAAGUUGGCUCUAGUAAUUUGUUUUAUAGGCCUGGUAAAGUUUGUGCCAGCCACCGCGGUUAGACAAACAGGUCAAGUUAAGUUUAAUAUGGUAAAAAAGGAAGUAAAAUUAGCGAUUUAAAAAGGAUUAAUUUAGUGUAAAGGGGUGGAAUCCGUAUACAAUAAAUUGAAUCAGUGCCUCUUUUUUUUGACGCUUCGAAAACUAAAUAAGAGACCGGGAUUAGAUACCCCGUUAUUUUUUUUGUAAAUUUUGAUUGUUUAAUUUACCUGAGUAUUACGGGUUAUAAUGACUCUAUAUUAAUUUAAGUUAGUUAUGUGUUGUUUAGAUACUUAAAACUCAAAAAACUUGGCGGUGCCUUAUUUCCUCCCAGGGGAACCUGUCCUGUAAUCGAUGAUCCACGAUUAAUCUUACUUUUUUUUGAAUUUACAUAAAAUGUAAAACCAGUUUGUAUACCGUCGUCGUCAGAUUACCUUUAAGAGUUAAAAAGUUGUCUGUUGAAUUAGGAUUUUAUUUAUAAUAUUUUUACAAUAUGUAAUUGAAGUUGAUUUUUGAUGUCAGAUCAAGGUGCAGCUUAUAAAAAAGUAGAGAUGGGUUACAAUAUAAAUUUUAUAGUAUGGAUACCAAUUUGAAACAGUUGGGUGAAAGCGGACUUGGAAGUAAUAUUAAUAAAUAAAUUAAAAUUAGUAAGUUUAUGUGAAUAAAGGUACUAAGGUGCGCACAAAUCGCCCGUCGCUCUCGUCGGAAGAUGAGAUAAGUCGUAACAUAGUGAGGGUACUGGAAAGUGUUCUGAAGAAAAU